UCGCUCAAAGUAUAGAAACGC
rnacentral:siRNA from 1 species